UGAGAUGGUUGACUGGCGUCAGGGGUGACCAGGACAUGUCAUUUGCAUCAUAUGCAUAUUUGCAUUUAUUGCUUGUAUUUGCUGCACUUUAUUUGCUACAUAUUGGAUGGAUGCAUAUGAUUGAUAUGCAUACAGGGACAUGAGGUAUCUGGUCUGAUGACCUUUAUGUCAGGAUAGGAGGCCCUGGUUAAUGCUGUCAGGAGGUUCCAGUCGCUAGUCCCCACUUCGUAUCGCGACGGGUUCACUUAUUUUGGCUUUCUGGGUUCCUUGUUAUGUAUUUCUGAUCUACUUGUUGAUCCAUAUACUUAUGUUUGUACUCGAGGAGUUUUAUCAAGUUUUUGGUCUAUUACACUUAUUUUUC